rnacentral:rRNA from 1 species
CUGUGAGGUAUGCUGGAGGUAUCAGAAGUGCGAAUGCUGACAUAAGUAACGAUAAUGCGGGUGAAAAACCCGCACGCCGGAAGACCAAGGGUUCCUGUCCAACGUUAAUCGGGGCAGGGUGAGUCGACCCCUAAGGCGAGGCUGAAAAGCGUAGUCGAUGGGAAACGGGUUAAUAUUCCCGUACUGGUGGUAACUGCGAUGGGGGAACGGAGAAGGCUAGGUUGUCCGGGCGACGGUCGUCCCGGUUCAAGCAGGUAGGCAGAGUGAUUAGGCAAAUCCGGUCACUUAAUGCUGAGAUGUGAUGACGAACCACCAAGGUGGUGAAGCAAUUGAUGCCCCGCUUCCAGGAAAAGCCUCUAAGCUUCAGGUUACCAACAAUCGUACCCCAAACCGACACAGGUGGUCAGGUAGAGAAUACUCAGGCGCUUGAGAGAACUCGGGUGAAGGAACUAGGCAAAAUGGUGCCGUAACUUCGGGAGAAGGCACG